rnacentral:misc_RNA from 1 species
GAUGAAGGACGUAGCGAAAUGCGAUAAGUAAUGUGAAUUGCAGAAUUCAGUGAAUCAUCGAAUCUUUGAACGCACAUUGCGCCCGCCAGUAUUCUGGCGGGCAUGCCUGUUCGAGCGUCAUUACAACCCUCAGGCCCCCGGGCCUGGCGUUGGGGGUCGGCGGAGCCCCCCGUGGGCACACGCCGUCCCCCAAAUACAGUGGCGGUCCCGCCGCAGCUUCCAUCGCGUAGUAGCUAACACCUCGCGACUGGAGAGCGGCGCGGCCACGCCGUAAAACACCCAACUCUUCUGAAGUUGACCUCGAAUCAGGUAGGAAUACCCGCUGAACUUAAGCAUAUCAAUAAGCGGAGGA